rnacentral:rRNA from 1 species
GAAGGAUCCAAGCGUUAUCCGGAUUCAUUGGGUUUAAAGGGAGCGUAGGCGGGUUUAUAAGUCAGUGGUGAAAGCCGAUCGCUUAACGAUCGAACUGCCAUUGAUACUGUAGACCUAGAGUACAGAUGAUGUUGGCGGAAUAUGACAUGUAGCGGUGAAAUGCAUAGAUAUGUCAUAGAACACCGAUUGCGAAGGCAGCUGACAAAACUGUAACUGACGCUGAGGCUCGAAAGUGCGGGGAUCAAACAGGAUUAGAUACCCUGGUAGUCCGCACAGUAAACGAUGAUAACUAGUUGUUUGCGAUAUACAGUAAGCGACCAAGCGAAAGCGAUAAGUUAUCCACCUGGGGAGUACGCUCGCAAGAGUG